rnacentral:rRNA from 1 species
GACGAACGCUGGCGGCGUGCCUAAUACAUGCAAGUUGAGCGCUGAAGGUUGGUACUUGUACCGACUGGAUGAGCAGCGAACGGGUGAGUAACGCGUGGGGAAUCUGCCUUUGAGCGGGGGACAACAUUUGGAAACGAAUGCUAAUACCGCAUAAAAACUUUAAACACAAGUUUUAAGUUUGAAAGAUGCAAUUGCAUCACUCAAAGAUGAUCCCGCGUUGUAUUAGCUAGUUGGUGAGGUAAAGGCUCACCAAGGCGAUGAUACAUAGCCGACCUGAGAGGGUGAUCGGCCACAAUGGGACUGAGACACGGCCCAAACUCCUACGGGAGGCAGCAGUAGGGAAUCUUCGGCAAUGGACGAAAGGCUGACCGAGCAACGCCGCGUGAGUGAAGAAGGGUUUCGGAUCGUAAAACUCUGUUGGUAGAGAAGAACGUUGGUGAGAGUGGAAAGCUCAUCAAGUGACGGUAACUACACAGAAAGGGACGGCUAACUACGUG